rnacentral:rRNA from 1 species
GAUGAACGCUGGCGGCGUGCUUAACACAUGCAAGUCGAACGGGAAACCUUUUAAUGAGGCUUCGGCAGAUUUAGCUGGUUUCUAGUGGCGGACGGGUGAGUAACGCGUGGGUAACCUGCCUUAUACAGGGGGAUAACAGUCAGAAAUGACUGCUAAUACCGCAUAAGCGCACAGGACCGCAUGGUCCGGUGUGAAAAACUCCGGUGGUAUAAGAUGGACCCGCGUUGGAUUAGCUUGUUGGUGAGGUAACGGCUCACCAAGGCGACGAUCCAUAGCCGGCAUGAGAGGGUGAACGGCCACAUUGGGACUGAGACACGGCCCAGACUCCUACGGGAGGCAGCAGUGGGGAAUAUUGCAAAAUGGGGGAAACCAUGAUGCAGCGACGACGCGUGAAGGAAGAAGUAUCUCGGUAUGUAAACUUCUAUCAGCAGGGAAGAUAGUGACGGUACCUGACUAAGAAGCCCCGGCUAACUACGUG